rnacentral:rRNA from 1 species
CAAUAGCGUAUAUUAAAGUUGUUGCAGUUAAAAGCUCGUAGUUGGAUUUCGGAGUGGGCCAGUUGGUCCGCCGCAAGGUGUGUUACUGACUGGUUUGCUCUUCUUCGCAAAGACUGCGUGUGCCCUUAAAUGAGUGUCAGUCGAUGAGAUUUUAACGACGUUUUACUUUGAAAAAUUAGAGUGUUCAAAGCAGGCUAUUGCUUGAAUACAUGAGCAUGGAAUAAUGGAAUAGGACUUUGGUCCCAUUUUGUUGGUUUCUAGGGCCGAAGUAAUGAUUAAGAGGGACAAUUGGGGCAUCCGUAUUUCGUUGUCAGAGGUGAAAUUCUUGGAUUUACGAAAGACGAACAACUGCGAAAGCACUUGCCAAGAGU